GGCGGACGGGUGAGUAAUGUAUAGUUAACCUGCCCUCGAGAAAGGAAUAACAGUUGGAAACGACUGCUAAUGCCCUAUAUGCCUUUAAGACAUAAGUCUACAAGGGAAAUGCUUUUGUGCUCGAGGAUGGGACUGUAUGGUAUCAGAUAGUUGGUGAGGUAAUGGCUCACCAAGUCAAUGACGCCUAACUGGUUUGAGAGGAUGAUCAGUCACACUGGAACUGAGACACGGUCCAGACUCCUACGGGAGGCAGCAGUGGGGAAUAUUGCACAAUGGAGGAAACUCUGAUGCAGCAACGCCGCGUGGAGGAUGACACUUUUCGGAGCGUAAACUCCUUUUAUAUAGGAAGAUAAUGACGGUACUAUAUGAAUAAGCGCCGGCUAACUCCGUGCCAGCAGCCGCGGUAAUACGGAGGGCGCAAGCGUUACUCGGAAUCACUGGGCGUAAAGAGCGUGUAGGCGGGUUAAUAAGUCAGAAGUGAAAUCCUAUAGCUCAACUAUAGAACUGCUUUUGAAACUGUUAACCUAGAAUAUGGGAGAGGUAGAUGGAAUUUCUGGUGUAGGGGUAAAAUCCGUAGAGAUCAGAAGGAAUACCGAUUGCGAAGGCGAUCUACUGGAACAUUAUUGACGCUGAGACGCGAAAGCGUGGGGAGCUACAGGAUUAGAUACCCUGGUAGUCCAC
rnacentral:rRNA from 1 species